UACAGAGGUGGCAAGCGUUGUUCGGAAUUACUGGGCGUAAAGGGCGCGUAGGCGGCCUUCUCAGUCGGACGUGAAAUCCCCAGGCUUAACUUGGGAACUGCGUCCGAUACUGGAGGGCUUGAGUGCGGGAGAGGGAUGUGGAAUUCCAGGUGUAGCGGUGAAAUGCGUAGAUAUCUGGAGGAACACCGGUGGCGAAGGCGGCAUCCUGGACCGACACUGACGCUGAGGCGCGAAAGCCAGGGGAGCAAACGGG
rnacentral:rRNA from 1 species